AGCAGUUAUGGUUUGCGCAUGCGCCAGUGUAAGCCAUGUCGAACCUAGCCUCCCACCACGCUCAGGAGCUCCGAGUCCCGGCUCAGGCCGAGCGGAAGCCGCCGCCUUCCCUGAAGCCCUGCUGUGCCUGUCCCGAGACCAAGCGGGCGCGCGAUGCCUGCAUCAUUGAAAAAGGAGAAGAAUUCUGUGGUCCUCUUAUUGAUGCUCACAAGGAGUGCAUGAGAGCCUUGGGUUUUAAGAUAUGAACAAGAUGAACUACAAAUCUGAAUGUUUGGAAGUCUACCUUCCAAAUUUCUACUGCUUGGAUUUGGCACACUCGCUACUGAACUGGGGUGAUUUGCUGGUGGAUUAUUAGUUUGGGGACUUUACUUCAAUAGCUGCUUGAAUAGUUUUUUAUGUUUUAUAUCAGAAGAUGAAUUUAUUGAAAAUAAUAUUUAUAAUGGGUUCUGAAACCACAACAGAAUAUCACUUUACUGUAUUUUUCUUGUAACUGGAUGGCUAUGUGAUAAUGAGAGAUUUUGCUUAAUUUUUUUUUUUAAAAAAAAAUCUCAUUGAGUAUGACAAGUCUGGCUCCUGUGGGAUGUUAGUGAUCCAAAAGUUUCUAGAAAGAUUUUUUUUCUCUAUGUACUAGAAUGUGACUUAAGUAUAAACAAUAAAACAAAAUGGUGCAAUUGG